AAUGAAGUCGAGCGAAGACGAGGAGCUUGCUCCUCUGACGUUAGCGGCGGACGGGUGAGUAACACGUGGAUAACCUACCUAUAAGACUGGGAUAACUUCGGGAAACCGGAGCUAAUACCGGAUAAUAUAUUGAACCGCAUGGUUCAAUAGUGAAAGACGGUUUUGCUGUCACUUAUAGAUGGAUCCGCGCCGCAUUAGCUAGUUGGUAAGGUAACGGCUUACCAAGGCAACGAUGCGUAGCCGACCUGAGAGGGUGAUCGGCCACACUGGAACUGAGACACGGUCCAGACUCCUACGGGAGGCAGCAGUAGGGAAUCUUCCGCAAUGGGCGAAAGCCUGACGGAGCAACGCCGCGUGAGUGAUGAAGGUCUUCGGAUCGUAAAACUCUGUUAUUAGGGAAGAACAAAUGUGUAAGUAACUAUGCACGUCUUGACGGUACCUAAUCAGAAAGCCACGGCUAACUACGUGCCAGCAGCCGCGGUAAUACGUAGGUGGCAAGCGUUAUCCGGAAUUAUUGGGCGUAAAGCGCGCGUAGGCGGUUUUUUAAGUCUGAUGUGAAAGCCCACGGCUCAACCGUGGAGGGUCAUUGGAAACUGGAAAACUUGAGUGCAGAAGAGGAAAGUGGAAUUCCAUGUGUAGCGGUGAAAUGCGCAGAGAUAUGGAGGAACACCAGUGGCGAAGGCGACUUUCUGGUCUGUAACUGACGCUGAUGUGCGAAAGCGUGGGGAUCAAACAGGAUUAGAUACCCUGGUAGUCCACGCCGUAAACGAUGAGUGCUAAGUGUUAAGGGGGUUUCCGCCCCUUAGUGCUGCAGCUAACGCAUUAAGCACUCCGCCUGGGGAGUACGACCGCAAGGUUGAAACUCAAAGGAAUUGACGGGGACCCGCACAAGCGGUGGAGCAUGUGGUUUAAUUCGAAGCAACGCGAAGAACCUUACCAAAUCUUGACAUCCUCUGACCCCUCUAGAGAUAGAGUUUUCCCCUUCGGGGGACAGAGUGACAGGUGGUGCAUGGUUGUCGUCAGCUCGUGUCGUGAGAUGUUGGGUUAAGUCCCGCAACGAGCGCAACCCUUAAGCUUAGUUGCCAUCAUUAAGUUGGGCACUCUAAGUUGACUGCCGGUGACAAACCGGAAGAAAGGGGGGGAUGACGUCAAAUCAUCAUGCCCCUUAUGAUUUGGGCUACACACGUGCUACAAUGGACAAUACAAAGGGUACGAAACC
rnacentral:rRNA from 1 species